GGUGCGAGCGUUGUCCGGAAUUACUGGGCGUAAAGAGCUCGUAGGUGGUUUGUCGCGUUGUUCGUGAAAUCUCACGGCUUAACUGUGAGCGUGCGGGCGAUACGGGCAGACUAGAGUACUGCAGGGGGGACUGGAAUUCCUGGUGUAGCGGUGGAAUGCGCAGAUAUCAGGAGGAACACCGGUGGCGAAGGCGGGUCUCUGGGCAGUAACUGACGCUGAGGAGCGAAAGCGUGGGGAGCGAACAGGAUUAGAUACCCUGGUAGUCCACGCCGUAAACGGUGGGUACUAGGUGUGGGUUUCCUUCCUUGGGAUCCGUGCCGUAGCUAACGCAUUAAGUACCCCGCCUGGGGAGUACGGCCGCAAGGCUAAAACUCAAAGGAAUUGACGGGGGCCCGCACAAGCGGCGGAGCAUGUGGAUUAAUUCGAUGCAACGCGAAGAACCUUACCUGGGUUUGACAUGCACAGGACGCGUCUAGAGAUAGGCGUUCCCUUGUGGCCUGUGUGCAGGUGGUGCAUGGCUGUCGUCAGCUCGUGUCGUGAGAUGUUGGGUUAAGUCCCGCAACGAGCGCAACCCUUGUCUCAUGUUGCCAGCGGGUAAUGCCGGGGACUCGUGAGAGACUGCCGGGGUCAACUCGGAGGAAGGUGGGGAUGACGUCAAGUCAUCAUGCCCCUUAUGUCCAGGGCUUCACACAUGCUACAAUGGCCGGUACAAAGGGCUGCGAUGCCGUAAGGUUAAGCGAAUCCUUUUAAAGCCGGUCUCAGUUCGGAUUGGGGUCUGCAACUCGACCCCAUGAAGUCGGAGUCGCUAGUAAUCGCA
rnacentral:rRNA from 1 species